CACGUAGGGGCGAGCGUUAUCCGGAUUUAUUGGGUUUAAAGGGUGCGCAGGUUGUUUGAUAUGUCAGUGGUGAAAGUCUGUCGCUUAACGGUAGGAUUGCCAUUGAUACUGUUGGACUUGAAUAUGGAUGAGGUAGGCGGAAUGUGUAGUGUAGCGGUGAAAUGCAUAGAUAUUACACAGAACACCGAUUGCGAAGGCAGCUUACUAAUCCAUCAUUGACGCUGAGGCACGAAAGCGUGGGGAUCAAACAGGA
rnacentral:rRNA from 1 species